rnacentral:rRNA from 1 species
UGCAUAUCAAAAAGCGGAGGAAAAGAAACCAACUGGGAUUGCCUUAGUAACGGCGAGUGAAGCGGCAAAAGCUCAAAUUUGAAAUCUGGUACCUUUGGUGCCCGAGUUGUAAUUUGGAGAGUACCACUUUGGGACUGUACUUUGCCUAUGUUCCUUGGAACAGGACGUCAUGGAGGGUGAGAAUCCCGUGUGGCGAGGGUGUCAGUUCUUUGUAAAGGGUGCUCGAAGAGUCGAGUUGUUUGGGAAUGCAGCUCUAAGUGGGUGGUAAAUUCCAUCUAAAGCUAAAUACAGGCGAGAGACCGAUAGCGAACAAGUACAGUGAUGGAAAGAUGAAAAGAACUUUGAAAAGAGAGUGAAAAAGUACGUGAAAUUGUUGAAAGGGAAGGGCAUUUGAUCAGACAUGGUGUUUUGCGCCCCUUGCCUCUCGUGGGCUUGGGACUCUCGCAGCUCACUGGGCCAGCAUCGGUUUUGGCGGCCGGAAAAAACCUAGGGAAUGUGGCUCUGCGCCUCGGUGUAGAGUGUUAUAGCCCUGGGGAAUACGGCCAGCCGGGACCGAGGACUGCGAUACUUGUUAUCUAGGAUGCUGGCAUAAUGGUUAUAUGCCGCCCGUCUUGACCC